rnacentral:rRNA from 1 species
AGGAGGUCUUGCCUGCCCAGUGACUAAUUAAACGGCCGCGGUAUUUUGACCGUGCGAAGGUAGCGCAAUCACUUGUCUUUUAAAUGAAGACCUGUAUGAAUGGUGGAACGAGGGCUUAACUGUCUCCCCUUUCAAGUCAAUGAAAUUGAUCUGCCCGUGCAGAAGCGGACAUACAAAUACAAGACGAGAAGACCCUUUGGAGCUUAAGAUAAAAGAUCAACUAUGUCAAGAACCAAAAGUUAAACUAAAUAGCAACUGAUCCCUAUCUUCGGUUGGGGCGACCGCGGGAGAAAACAAAGCUCCCACGCGGACUGGGACACCUCCUAGAACCAAGAAAGACACUUCUAAGCCACAGAACAUCUGACCAUUAAGAUCCGGCUACAUGCCGACCAACGAACCAAGUUACCCUAGGGAUAACAGCGCAAUCCCCUUUCAGAGUCCAUAUCGACAAGGGGGUUUACGACCUCGAUGUUGGAUCAGGACAUCCUAAUGGUGCAGCCGCUAUUAAGGGUUCGUUUGUUCAACGAUUAAAGUCCUACGUGAUCUGAGUUCAGACCGGA